UUUCCGGUUGAUCCCGCCGGACCUGACUGCUAUCGGAUUGAUACUAAGCCAUGCGAGUCUUUGUAGUAAUACAAGGCAUACGGCUCAGUAACACGUAGUCAACCUACCCUAUGGACAAGAAUAAUCUCGGGAAACUGAGCAUAAUUCUUGAUAGAUCAUAAUGCCUGGAAUGGUUUAUGGUUAAAAUGAUUCGUCGCCAUAGGAUGGGACUGCGGCCUAUCAGCUUGUUGGUGAGGUAAUGGCCCACCAAGGCGAUUACAGGUACGGGCUCUGAGAGGAGAAGCCCGGAGAUGGGUACUGAGACACGGACCCAGGCCCUAUGGGGCGCAGCAGGCGAGAAAACUUUGCAAUGUGCGAAAGCACGACAAGGUUAAUCCGAGUGAUUUCUGCUAAAGAAAUCUUUUGCCAGUCGUAAAACCGCUGGUGAAUAAGGGGUGGGCAAGUUCUGGUGUCAGCCGCCGCGGUAAAACCAGCACCUCAAGUGGUCAGGAUGAUUAUUGGGCCUAAAGCAUCCGUAGCCGGCUUUGUAAGUUUUCGGUUAAAUCCAUGUGCUCAACGCAUGGGCUGCCGAAAAUACUGUAUAGCUAGGGAGUGGGAGAGGUAGACGGUACUCAGUAGGUAGGGGUAAAAUCCUUUGAUCUAUUGAUGACCACCUGUGGCGAAGGCGGUCUACCAGAACACGUUCGACGGUGAGGGAUGAAAGCUGGGGGAGCAAACCGGAUUAGAUACCCGGGUAGUCCCAGCUGUAAACGAUGCAGACUGGAUGAUGCAUUGGCAUAAUAGCCAUUGCAGUGUCUCAGGGAAGCCGUUAAGUCUGCCGCCUGGGAAGUACGUACGCAAGUAUGAAACUUAAAGGAAUUGGCGGGGGAGCACCACAAGGGGUGAAGCCUGCGGUUCAAUUGGAGUCAACGCCGGG
rnacentral:rRNA from 1 species